AGAGUUUGAUCCUGGCUCAGAUUGAACGCUGGCGGAAUGCUUUACACAUGCAAGUCGAACGGUAACAGCAGAGCUUGCUCUGGCUGACGAGUGGCGGACGGGUGAGUAAUAUAUCGGAACGUGUCCAAUAAUGGGGGAUAACUAGCCGAAAGGUUGGCUAAUACCGCAUACGCCCUGAGGGGGAAAGCUGGGGAUCUUCGGACCUGGCGUUAAUGGAGCGGCCGAUACCUGAUUAGCUAGUAGGUGGGGUAAAAGCCUACCUAGGCAACGAUCAGUAGCUGGUCUGAGAGGACGACCAGCCACACUGGGACUGAGACACGGCCCAGACUCCUACGGGGGGCAGCAGUGGGGAAUUUUGGACAAUGGGGGCAACCCUGAUCCAGCCAUUCCGCGUGAGUGAAGAAGGCCUUCGGGUUGUAAAGCUCUUUCGCGAGAGAAGAAACGAUAUAGGUUAAUAGCCUAUGUUAAUGACGGUAUCUUGAUAAGAAGCACCGGCUAACUACGUGCCAGCAGCCGCGGUAAUACGUAGGGUGCAAGCGUUAAUCGGAAUUACUGGGCGUAAAGCGUACGCAGGCGGUUUGGUAAGUCAGAUGUGAAAUCCCCGAGCUCAACUUGGGAACUGCGUUUGAAACUACCAGACUAGAAUAUGUCAGAGGGGGGUAGAAUUCCACGUGUAGCAGUGAAAUGCGUAGAGAUGUGGAGGAAUACCAAUGGCGAAGGCAGCCCCCUGGGAUAAUAUUGACGCUCAUGUACGAAAGCGUGGGGAGCGAACAGGAUUAGAUACCCUGGUAGUCCACGCCCUAAACGAUGUCAACUAGUUGUUGGUGGAGUAAAAUCCAUGAGUAACGUAGCUAACGCGUGAAGUUGACCGCCUGGGGAGUACGGUCGCAAGAUUAAAACUC
rnacentral:rRNA from 1 species